rnacentral:rRNA from 1 species
CNUGCAAGUCGAACGGUAACAGGAGAGAGCUUGCUCUCUUGCUGACGAGUGGCGGACGGGUGAGUAAUACAUGGGAAUCUGCCCUGAGGUGGGGGAUAACCCGGGGAAACUCGGGCUAAUACCGCAUGAUCUCUUCGGAGCAAAGUGGGGGACCUUCGGGCCUCACGCCUUGGGAUGAGCCCAUGUCUGAUUAGCUAGUUGGUGGGGUAAAGGCCUACCAAGGCAACGAUCAGUAGCCGGCCUGAGAGGGUGUACGGCCACACUGGGACUGAGACACGGCCCAGACUCCUACGGGAGGCAGCAGUGGGGAAUAUUGGACAAUGGGGGCAACCCUGAUCCAGCAAUGCCGCGUGUGUGAAGAAGGCCUGCGGGUUGUAAAGCACUUUUAUCGGGGAAGAAUAGGUUGUCGUUAAUAGCGCCAACACUUGACAUUACCCGUUGAAUAAGCACCGGCUAACUCCGUGCCAGCAGCCGCGGUAAUACGGAGGGUGCGAGCGUUAAUCGGAAUUACUGGGCGUAAAGGGUGCGUNGGCGGAAGCUUAAGUCUGAUGUGAAAGCCCCGGGCUUAACCUGGGAAUGGCAUUGGAAACUGGGGUUUCUAGAGUGUGGUNANGAUAGUGGAAUUUCCCGUGUA